UACGUAGGGUGCGAGCGUUAAUCGGAAUUACUGGGCGUAAAGCGUGCGCAGGCGGCUUUGCAAGACAGAGGUGAAAUCCCCGGGCUCAACCUGGGAACUGCCUUUGUGACUGCAAGGCUAGAGUACGGCAGAGGGGGAUGGAAUUCCGCGUGUAGCAGUGAAAUGCGUAGAUAUGCGGAGGAACACCGAUGGCGAAGGCAAUCCCCCUGGGCCUGUACUGACGCUCAUGCACGAAAGCGUGGGGGGAGCAAACAGGAUUAGAUACCCUGGUAGUCCACGCCCUAAACGAUGUCAACUGGUUGUUGGACGGCUUGCUGUUCAGUAACGAAGCUAACGCGUGAAGUUGACCGCCUGGGGAGUACGGCCGCAAGGUUGAAACUC
rnacentral:rRNA from 1 species